UACGGAGGGGGCUAGCGUUGUUCGGAAUUACUGGGCGUAAAGCGCGCGUAGGCGGCUUUGUAAGUUAGAGGUGAAAGCCCGGAGCUCAACUCCGGAAUUGCCUUUAAGACUGCAUCGCUUGAAUCAUGGAGGGGUGAGUGGAAUUCCGAGUGUAGAGGUGAAAUUCGUAGAUAUUCGGAAGAACACCAGUGGCGAAGGCGACUCACUGGACAUGUAUUGACGCUGAGGUGCGAAAGCGUGGGGAGCAAACAGG
rnacentral:rRNA from 1 species